AUUGAACGCUGGCGGCAGGCCUAACACAUGCAAGUCGAACGGUAACAGGAAACAGCUUGCUGUUUCGCUGACGAGUGGCGGACGGGUGAGUAAUGUCUGGGAAACUGCCUGAUGGAGGGGGAUAACUACUGGAAACGGUAGCUAAUACCGCAUAACGUCGCAAGACCAAAGAGGGGGACCUUCGGGCCUCUUGCCAUCGGAUGUGCCCAGAGGGGAUUAGCUAGUAGGUGGGGUAACGGCUCACCUAGGCGACGAUCCCCAGCUGGUCUGAGAGGAUGACCAGCCACACUGGAACUGAGACACGGUCCAGACUCCUACGGGAGGCAGCAGUGGGGAAUAUUGCACAAUGGGCGCAAGCCUGAUGCAGCCAUGCCGCGUGUAUGAAGAAGGCCUUCGGGUUGUAAAGUACUUUCAGCGGGGAGGAAGGGAGUAAAGUUAAUACCUUUGCUCAUUGACGUUACCCGCAGAAGAAGCACCGGCUAACUCCGUGCCAGCAGCCGCGGUAA
rnacentral:rRNA from 1 species